UACGGGGGGGGCAAGCGUUGUUCGGAAUUACUGGGCGUAAAGGGCUCGUAGGCGGCCAACUAAGUCAUACGUGAAAUCCCUCGGCUUAACCGGGGAACUGCGUCUGAUACUGGAUGGCUUGAGUUCGGGAGAGGGAUGCGGAAUUCCAGGUGUAGCGGUGAAAUGCGUAGAUAUCAGGAGGAACACCGGUGGCGAAGGCGGGUCUCUGGGCAGUGAACUGACGCUGAGGAGCGAAAGCGUGGGUAGCGAACAGG
rnacentral:rRNA from 1 species